rnacentral:sRNA from 1 species
AAAGCAAAUGGCGAGCUAGGCUGAGCUAUAAUUUGGUUGGCAGCCAACUCAAGCCUCAAUAAUUUUCCUCUGUGCAAAGUGUUGGGCGGAGGAAUUACCAUCCCGAGUACGGAGUAUGCGGCGCUCGACCGCAUGUGUUACAUAUUUUCUCCUUGGGUCCCAUGCCGCUGCGCCAAUUUCUUUCCGCUCUACAAUCCCUAUUAAUAGUAGCUGCCAAGCGAGAGAUUAAAAGAUGAUGGAUGAGAAGGAGGAGAAGAAGGAGAGGAUACAGCAGAAGAACUUGAAGCGAAUUAAGCAGAACUGGCAGGGUGGGAUCGUGACUUGUUGAUGCAAGGGGGGGUUGAGCCGCGGCUGUACAGGGAUGAAUCCAUGCAACAAGAGAUCUGUGCGCUUGCGCUCUUCGUAUAUUUCUCCCUGGGCUUGCCCUUUUUUUUUUUUUUUUUUUUUUUCCUUUUUUUCUUUUGCCUUUCCCUUCGUUCGUCAAAACUUCAGAGCUGAGAUGGAGGGAUUUUGCUGGGAAAGUUCCGGCAGACUUUGUGGACGGGGAAAUUUAUCCCCCUAUUGCACCUGCGUGGUUGCGAGCAAGAAUGGGCAA